rnacentral:pre_miRNA from 1 species
UUAACUCAUAUUUGUAUGGAGUGGGCUCGUUUGCGUACGUUUGCCGCUAGGGGCGCUGUUCCAACUGCAUACAAAAUUGGCUUA